UACGUAGGGUGCGAGCGUUAAUCGGAAUUACUGGGCGUAAAGCGUGCGCAGGCGGUUCGUUAAGUUCGAUGUGAAAGCCCCGGGCUCAACCUGGGAACUGCAUUGGAAACUGGCGAGCUUGAGUAUGGCAGAGGGGGGUGGAAUUCCGCGUGUAGCAGUGAAAUGCGUAGAGAUGCGGAGGAACACCGAUGGCGAAGGCAGCCCCCUGGGCCAAUACUGACGCUCAGGCACGAAAGCGUGGGGAGCAAACAGG
rnacentral:rRNA from 1 species